rnacentral:rRNA from 1 species
AUGGUGGCGACCGGCGCACGGGUGCGUAACGCGUAUAGAACUUACCUUUUACAGAGGGAUAGCCUUUAGAAAUGAAGAUUAAUACCUCAUAGUAUUGAAUUUUGGCAUCAAGAUUUAAUUAAAGAUUUAUCGGUAAAAGAUGGCUAUGCGUCCUAUUAGCUAGAUGGUGAGGUAACGGCUCACCAUGGCGACGAUAGGUAGGGGUCCUGAGAGGGAGAUCCCCCACACUGGUACUGAGACACGGACCAGACUCCUACGGGAGGCAGCAGUGAGGAAUAUUGGGCAAUGGAGGCAACUCUGACCCAGCCAUGCCGCGUGCAGGAAUAAGGUCCUAUGGAUUGUAAACUGCUUUUAUACAGGAAGAAACCCCCGACGUGUCGGGGCUUGACGGUACUGUAUGAAUAAGCACCGGCUAACUCCGUGCCAGCAGCCGCGGUAAUACGGAGGGUGCAAGCGUUAUCCGGAAUCAUUGGGUUUAAAGGGUCCGCA